UGUAACUGCUAUAUAUAAGGAUCAAACGACACAAUGAAAUUACAGGACUUUCAAGGGCAAUUGGUUCAGCUGAGGCUGCCGCAGCUAAAUGCCAAGUUUUCUACUACCAGGUGCGUCACAGGCUGAAGUAGCAAGGACUCAAGAGGAAGGAUGAUCAUUUGUUGCAGCCUGUACUUCAGGUAUUGCUCUGAAUGCCAGUUUUCAAGAACAAGACAGUCCGCAAGAUUAGCUCAUUAAUGAAGACACAACCUGGUAGGUAAUUUUAUAAUUAAAA
rnacentral:lncRNA from 1 species